CGACGAAGGUGGCAAGCGUUGUUCGGUAUCACUGGGCUUAAAGCGUGUGUAGGCGGAAAAGUAAGCGUCUUGUGAAAGCCCCCGGCUUAACCGGGGAAUUGCGUGACGAACUGCUUUUCUUGAGGCAAGUAGGGGUGCAUGGAACUCUUGGUGGAGCGGUGGAAUGCGUAGAUAUCAAGAGGAACGCCAGUGGAGAAAUCGGUGCACUGGGCUUGUCCUGACGCUGAGACACCGAAAGCGUGGGGAGCGAACGGGAUUAGAUACCCCGGUAGUCCACGCCGUAAACGAUGCCUACUAGGUUGUGGUGGUUCUGACACCAGCACAGCCGAAGCAAAAGUGUUAAGUAGGCCGCCUGGGGAGUACGGUCGCAAGGCUAAA
rnacentral:rRNA from 1 species